AGCUCUUCGCGGAGCUCUCCUUCCAUCCUGGACCUCAG
rnacentral:rRNA from 1 species